UACGUAGGGGGCAAGCGUUGUCCGGAAUCAUUGGGCGUAAAGAGCGUGUAGGCGGCCCGGUAAGUCCGCUGUGAAAGUCCAGGGCUCAACCCUGGGAUGCCGGUGGAUACUGUCGGGCUCGAGUCCGGAAGAGGAGUGUGGAAUUCCUGGUGUAGCGGUGAAAUGCGCAGAUAUCAGGAGGAACACCAAUGGCGAAGGCAGCACUCUGGGACGUGACUGACGCUGAGACGCGAAAGCGCGGGGAGCAAACAGG
rnacentral:rRNA from 1 species